rnacentral:rRNA from 1 species
UACGUAGGGUCCAAGCGUUAAUCGGAAUUACUGGGCGUAAAGCGUGCGCAGGCGGUUGUGCAAGACCGAUGUGAAAUCCCCGAGCUUAACUUGGGAAUUGCAUUGGUGACUGCACGGCUAGAGUGUGUCAGAGGGGGGUAGAAUUCCACGUGUAGCAGUGAAAUGCGUAGAGAUGUGGAGGAAUACCGAUGGCGAAGGCAGCCCCCUGGGAUAACACUGACGCUCAUGCACGAAAGCGUGGGGAGCAAACAGGAUUAGAUACCCCCGUAGUCC